UAAGAGAGUUUGAUCCUGGCUCAGGAUGAACGCUAGCGGCAGGCCUAAUACAUGCAAGUCGAACGGUAACAGUUCUUUCGAGAAGCUGACGAGUGGCGCACGGGUGCGUAACGCGUAUGCAACCUACCCUAUACAGGGGGAUAGCCCAGAGAAAUUUGGAUUAAUACCCCAUGGUACUAUCAGAUGGCAUCUGAAGAUAGUUAAAGAUUUAUUGGUAUAGGAUGGGCAUGCGUUAGAUUAGUUAGUUGGUGAGGUAACGGCUCACCAAGGCUACGAUCUAUAGCUGGUCUGAGAGGAUGAUCAGCC
rnacentral:rRNA from 13 species